GUACGGCAUUGCUAUCGUGUCUGUGUUCGCAGAGAUUGGUCAGCCCGUGAACGAAGCCUUUAAAACCAUGGCAACCUUUGCGCAACGGAUAUUGUGGAAAGGCCAGUCAACCCGGGUAGAGACGAUCUCCGCCAAAGCCCUCUUCCCCAACACCAACUAUUACGUCACGUACGAGGGCUCACUCACACAACCCGGA